rnacentral:rRNA from 1 species
ACGGCCCAAAGCGUGGUUAAAUUAUAUUAAACAUAAUAGAAAUGAAAAUUAACUUAACUGUCGUACGUAACCGUUAAACGUAAAACCAAAAACGAAAGUUAUUCUAAUAAAAAAAUUACUUGAAUCCACGAUCGCUAAGAAACAAACCAGGAUUAGAUACCCUACUAUGCUUAGCUUUAAACUUUGAUUUAUCCGCCAGAUUACUACGAGCCACAGCUUAAAACUCAAAGGACUUGGCGGUGCUCUACACCCCCCUAGAGGAGCCUGUUCUAUAAUCGAUAAUCCUCGCUAAACCUCACCACCUAUUGCCAAUACCGCCUAUAUACCACCGUCCUAAGCUUACCCUUUAAGGGCUUAAUAGUAAGCACAAUAAUAAACAUAAAAACAUCAGGUCAAGGUGUAGCGAAUUAAGUGGAAAGAAAUGGGCUACAUUUUCUUGUAAGAAAAUACAAAAGGUAAAGUGAAAUAUUACCUGAAGGCGGAUUUAGCAGUAAAAAGAAAAUAGAGUGUUCUUUUUAAGUUGGCCCUAGAGCGCGCACACACCGCCCGUCACCCUCAUCAAAAAUAUAAAAAGAAAAAUAACAUAAAAAUUUUUGAAGAAGAGGAAAGUCGUAACAUGGUAAGUAUACUGGAAAGUGUACUUGGUUAU